rnacentral:rRNA from 1 species
UGCAGGUUUGAUCCCUGGCCUCACGCAGUGGGUUAAGGAUCCAGCAUUGCCGUGAGCUGUGGUAUAGGUCUCAGGCAUGGCUUGAUCUGGUGUUGCUGCAGCAGCUGUAGCUUUGAUUCGACCCCUAGCCUGGGAACAUCAUGUGACAAAAGUGCGGGCCUAAAAAAAAAAAAAAAAAAAAAAAAAAGUUCACAAAAAGACUUGCACAUAGCUGCUUUAUUCAUAAUAGCCAGAAUGAGAAACAGUCCUGAUGCCCAUCCAAUGGUGAAAAAAUAAGCCCAGAGUGGUUUUGUUUGUUUGUUUUGAGUAUUCAAAGCUGUUCCCAGGCCUCCUGAAGCCCACAGUCAUGAAUAGUAGGAUCACAGUUCUGUUUUGAUGGUCUUAACUGCAACCCUGGUUUGAGGGAUAGCUGGGAAGUAUCAGUACUACACUGCUAGAGGUGAAAUUCUUGAAGAAACAUAAGUAUUUAUCAAGGAUGUUUACCUGAAUCAAGGAUGAAAGUCAGAGAUAAAGAAAUGCAAAUUAGGCUCUGUGAUAAGGGAAUUUCUAAGACCCUUAGGGCAGCUUUGAGUUCUAGGUUGCAAAGCUUAAACUUAUGGGAAUUGCAUAAGGGCACCUCUAGAGGUGGCACCUGUGGCUUAAUUUGACUCAACAGGAGGACUCAUGCUCAGCCCAGGCAGAUAAGAUUGACGUCUCCUCACUUGCCCUUCUCAGCUGGUAGAAAAAUUUUGUUAAAUCUGAUAAGGAGAUUCUGGAAUGCUAACUAGUUAUGUGACCCUGAGCAGCCAGUGUCCCCCAAUUUCUUACAGGGACAAGUUGUUUUCAGCCACCCCAGAUUGGCUAUUAACAAGUUUGUGAUGCUUUUAGAUGACCAGGACUGCCCCAGCUACAAUGACCCGUUAUGCCUAAUAUACACCUGCAGGUGUGGGUCACCCAUUAAACUCGUUCUCUAUCCAAAACUGCAAUUAUUCCUCCUGAAGGAGGAGUUCCUAGUAAGUGCAGGUCAUAAACUUGCAUUAAGUCCGUGUCCUUCAUACAUUCAGCCAGUCCUUCCUACUGACAUAAUAUAGUGUAGUGAAGCCCUGGGCUCAGCCCCUCUGCAAAGGCAAGGGCCCUGGUGGAGGUGAUGGAAUUUGACUUUGUAAAAGAAGUCAAAAUGAUAACAAGGCUGGCAUUGAUGAAGCUGGGGAAGGAUCAAGA